AUUGAACGCUGGCGGCAUGCCUUACACAUGCAAGUCGAACGACGCUACGGGGGCAACUCCGUAGCGAGUGGCGAACGGGUGAGUAAUGCAUCGGAACGUGCCCUCUUGUGGGGGAUAACCAGUCGAAAGAUUGGCUAAUACCGCAUGAGCUCGAGAGAGGAAAGCGGGGGAUCCGCAAGGACCUCGCGCGAGAGGAGCGGCCGAUGCCCGAUUAGCUAGUUGGUGGGGUAAUAGCCCACCAAGGCGACGAUCGGUAGCUGGUCUGAGAGGACGACCAGCCACACUGGGACUGAGACACGGCCCAGACUCCUACGGGAGGCAGCAGUGGGGAAUUUUGGACAAUGGGGGCAACCCUGAUCCAGCCAUGCCGCGUGUGUGAAGAAGGCCUUCGGGUUGUAAAGCACUUUCGGACGGAACGAAAUCGCGCGGGUGAAUAAUCCGCGUGGAUGACGGUACCGUAGGAAGAAGCACCGGCUAACUACGUAC
rnacentral:rRNA from 1 species